ensembl:lncRNA
CUGAGCAGAGACUAGGCCAAAGAAAAGGACUCACUCUGAAGACUUUUCCAAACAGCACUUUGAACAGGUGGCAGGAACCAAAGAAUUUGAGAGGCUUGCUGCCGUCGCCAAGCUGGUCCUGGUGUUGCCCCAUUCGAAUGCAGAUGCUGAGAGGGUGUUUUCAGUUUUCAGUGGGACUGAACAAAACUAAGACCAGAAAUAGCCUGGCAUUGGAUGGCUCCCUGUCUUCAAUAAUGGCCAUAAAGAUGGCUGACCUGGAGCCCUGUUUCAGAUGGGAGCCCCCCUCAGAGGUCAUCAAGGCCUCCAAGAAGGCCAGAGGCCAGUACAACCUUGCCC